AAGUCGUAACAAGGUCUCCGUUGGUGAACCAGCGGAGGGAUCAUUACAGAGUUAUCUAACUCCCAAACCCAUGUGAACUUACCUUUUGUUGCCUCGGCAGUGCCUACCCUGUAGCCAGUUACCCUGUAACGAACUACCCUGUAGCGCCUGCCGAUGGACCAUUAAACUCUUGUUAUUUUUAAGUAAUCUGAGCGUCUUAUUUUAAUAAGUCAAAACUUUCAACAACGGAUCUCUUGGUUCUG
rnacentral:misc_RNA from 1 species